UACGUAGGGUGCAGGCGUUAAUCGGAAUUACUGGGCGUAAAGCGUGCGCAGGCGGUUUGCUAAGACAGGUGUGAAAUCCCCGGGCUUAACCUGGGAACUGCGCUUGUUACUGGCAGGCUUGAGUGUGGCAGAGGGGGGUGGAAUUCCACGUGGUAGCAGGUGAAAUUCGUAGAUAAUCAGGAGGAACACCAGUGGCGAAGGGCGGACGUUUCCUUGG
rnacentral:rRNA from 1 species